rnacentral:misc_RNA from 1 species
UAUGUCAAUUCAAACAAUUUUGUGUUCGUUUUCACCCCGGUUCAUAUUUUAGAUGUUUCCUACGCAAAAACUGAUGACGUAUAACACACACGUAAUGCAGGCCCAGGCCACACACAGAAGGUGCUAGUUACCUGUCAUCGCUUUGAAUGAUUCAAAGGUUGCACUGACAUAAGUGCACAACAUCACAGGAAGCCGAUAUUGGCAAUUACAUCCACAUGAACGGUAAACAGGCAAAUGGACAGAGGUGACAGCGGGAGAAGACCAGACACAGGCAGCUCCAUGGAUGUUGCUGAUGAGGAGGCCCGACCUUCCCAGGGCGUCCCUGUGGGCGCAGCGAGAUGUGAGACGUGCAGGCUUGGAGAGGACAUGGAUGUAGCCCCAUGUGAGACCUGUCCUUGCAAGAAGAUGAGACGAGGGUCUCGUAGGAGGAGCUCCAGUGAUGAGGAGGUGGAUGGUCAGCCUCAAGGGGGAGGCCAGCCUCCCAAACCCACUGGUCAGGACAGUGUGAAGAUAGGCCGCUCUGGAGUCUAUGCUCUAGCUCAAUGUGAAAACAGAAUUUUAUCAAAUAAUUUCAUCUCCUCUGCCAAUUCUUCAAGCGUCCCGCUGAAGGAGAAGAAGAGUGCUGUGACCUUGAAGACGAGUCCUCUGAAGAGUUACGAAGACGACACCCAACAUUUGUCCAGCUUCAGUCGCCUGCUACAUAGAGGAGGGGCGGGAGAUACCAACAUGAACUGUAACUAUGGCAACAAGAACACAUCGUUCAUUUCAUCCAGUACUGUAGGUGUUCCUUCCACAAGCAGAGCUUAUACGGACACUUCUGUUGCCAUGCAAGCACAAGUUUCCUGUUUCCAUGGCAACAGUGAUGAGGAUGCGAGCCAGAUUCUUCCCCUGUCUCUGGUUGUGAAUAUAUUCCAAUAUCUCUCAAUGCCAGACUUGUUGUGUCGCGUGUGUCGAGUCUGUAAACUGUGGCACCAGGCUGCCCAUGAUCCAUCUCUAUGGCGACAUAUCUAUUUGCCUGUGUCGUCAAGGGUUACAGACAGUAUCUUGAACUGGUUGACCUCCCUCAGUGACCGGGUGUUGACCCUGGACGUGAGUGACAGCAAGCACACAACGUUCACAGAUGAGGGUGUUAUACAGAUCCUUCAGAAGUGUCACUAUAUUAGGACACUCAAGUUGGCCAGGUACUUUGUGUUCUCGGACGAUGUUUUUGAGUCUGUAGGCAAGUUCUGUCACCUCAUUCGCCACCUCAACCUCGACGGCUGUUUCUCCAUCUCUGACAAGUCCAUUGUCGCGAUUGGCAACGGAUGUCCACAGCUGGAGUAUCUGUUCAUGAGUCAGUGUAACAGGAUAUCUGACGAGGGCAUGCUGGCCGUGGCGCACGGCUGUCCCCACCUCCGACAGCUCCGUAUAGACCAGUGUGUCAAGGUGAAGGACGUGAGUGUGAUGGCCCUGGUAGCCGGGUGUCCCAACCUGGAGUAUCUCCAUCUGCUGGCCUGCAGCCUCACAGACGAUGGACUCCAGCAGCUGGCCAAGCUGCCCCGUCUCCGAAUGCUGGAUAUCUCCAACAUGACACAGCUGAGCUCGGCCUGUCUGGAGAACAUCGCACGGAGCUGCAAGGAGCUGGAGGUGCUCAGCGUCUCUCUGAACCGCACGGUGGACGACGAGUGUAUCAAGACCAUCGUCCAGUCCUGCGUCCACCUCAAGUGUCUGUCCUGCGUGGCCUGUAACCUCACUGACAAGACCCUGGAGUACAUCGGCCGGUACAGCAAGACGGUCGAGCGGGUGGAUGUAGCGUGGUGUGGGGAGAUCACAGAUAACGGUGUGCGAGCCAUAUCAGAAACCUGUAAAUCCCUCCGCUACCUUGGUCUGAUGAGGUGUGGUCAGGUUACCAUGGAGACAGUGGACGAACUUAUCCUGCUCCACCCACAGAUCCACUACUCAAACUUUGUGCUGGAGUCAAGGAAGUUGCUACAGCGGGCACGGAAUGAUGGACAUCCUGUACCGCUUCACUUCCUCAGCUGAUCCUGGAUAGUUGCUAGGUAACGAUGGAGUCGGUGAUGUCUGUGUCACAGCUGAUGGUGGAUGGUUGCCCGAUGAUGAUGGAGUCAGUGAUGUGUGUCUUCUCAGCUGAUGGUGGUUGCCAAGUGACAAUGGAGUCAGUGAUGUCUGUGUCACCAGCUGAUGGUGGACGGUUGCCAGGUGACGAAGGAGUCACUGGUGCCUGUUUCUCAGCUGAAUGUGGACAGUUGCCAGGUGACAAUGGAGUCAGUGAUGUCUGUGUUCUCAGCUGAUAGUGGACGGUUGCCAGGUGACAAUGGAGUCAGUAAUGUCUGUGCUCUCAGCUGAAUGUGGACGGUUGCUAGGUGACAAUGGAGUCAGCAAUGUCUGCUCUCAGCUGAAUGUGGACGGUUGCAAGGUGACAAUGGAGUCAGUGAUGUCUGUGUUCUCAGCUGAUAGUGGACGGUUGCCAGGUGACAAUGGAGUCAGUAAUGUCUGUGCUCUCAGCUGAAUGUGGACGGUUGCCAGGUGACAAUGGAGUCAGUGAUGUCU